UUUUAACUUUCAGAAAAAUGAAACCUCUUGAUGUUUGGCCAUUAAGGGAGACUUUUGGAACACCAUACAAAUGUUUAUCCUUUGACCGGGGUUAAUAAACAAUGUUUGGAUUAUAAAGGAGAGAGGGAAAUCAAAAGUAUGAGGACCACCCUUUGAAAAUAUGGAUGAGUCGCUAAUGAAAAAGUCCAUUAUGUGCUGCUAUUCCAUAGAGAGUUAAGGCUAGCUGUAGUCACCCAUCAAAUUUUCCAGACAAGGAUAGUUGAUGACAGAUGCUGCUGGCUCCCAUUCCUGCUGCUGAUGCUCCAAACGACCUAAGCAUGUUUUUAAAGAUCUGACCAAGACUGGUCCUUUACUGUGAACCUCACUUCUCUGAAGAGCGAGGCUGGUGGACACAGCAACCCUACAAGAUGGUAAGGUGGGCAACCAAACACGGCCUCACAAAGAAGAGGUGGUAAAGAUUUUGUCCUCAUUUUAACAAGACUCUGAAGUCAAAUCUCUAACACAGGGAGCUCAGCAGCCUCCUGCCCCCUGAGAAGCAGCACGCGUGUGGAAUGUGAAAGCUCCUUUUUCCUGUCUCUAUCUCAUUGAGAUACUUAAAUGAAUCAUCAGGAUGGAGAAUAUAUUGAGUAUGCAACUGAGAAGCAGAGAAGGAACUGCUACCACUUCAUGGAGGAUGGAGAGGGGAGAUUUUUUAUCUACACUGAAAACUUUAAGUGCUUUGAAUUUUUAUAUACAGAAUGGAAAAGGAGAAUCAAUGGAAGUUGUAGGUAGUAGUAAUGUAUGUUUUAGGUUUGAUAUGGCAUAUUGUGAACCUUUUGAAGAACCAAAUUAGCUCUUGUUUUAUUUGACAAUUUAAACAGCAAAUCUAUUCUCACAUAGCUGUUUUCAUUUCUAAAAUAGCUGGAACUGUGAUCCCCCCCCCCCAUUUCUCCUAACAGCUUAGUACAUGUGUGUAAUGCUUUGGAUCAGAUACAUGUACUCAUAAGGCUCUCAGGAACUAUCCCAUAGAGUCAAAAACAGACCUAAAUUCAGUUAUCACAGAUAAGUUAAUUACAUCAUAUUUACAUCUAUGGCAAUCACAAACAAACUCACUCAUAACCACAUUUAUGCAACAGCUUUGCUCACUGAAGGAAUGUCCUCUGACUACACUUGGCUCAAAUGAGCUUGGCAAAUAUAAUAAAAAUGACUGAUCAGCUUUCUUAAUAUAAUCCAAUUUAAACUUUAAGAUUCCUGCUGCUUCUACCAUAACUGCUCAGUAUUAAAUGGAUGUCCAUCCAACUCAUGUUGGACAAGUAAGUUUAAUAAAUGGGAGCAUGGGAACAAUGAAGGAGCUAGUUCAUCCAUUGCAAAACACUUUCCUUACUGUGUGCCUUCAAGCAGGCUUCUCUACAAUUUCACAUCACUGGUAUAGUGCAGGAAAGCUACACGCCACCUGAAUGGCAUUAGAUGUCAGUGCAGUAUGUUGUAGUUUGAUCUGUCUAGUGAAUUUAUAGGCCCCUGUAUAGGCCUUUCAUCUGAAAAACUCUAGAUAGAAACCCCUGUGAAUUUUAUAGCAUGAACUCGAGUUUUUAAAAAAGGGUCUAGAAACAUUUUUCAGCCCCCAUGCUUCCUUUCAAGAGUAUCACAAUUCUGCCUUGUGCAAAAAUAAUCGUAACAAUUUCUGGCUGUUCUAUGCAAAUAAACAUGAAGAAGUCUGCCUGCAGCAGUGUCAGAAGAGGUUAUGAAUCUCCUUCUUAAAGAGCUAAGUUGUAAUUUCCUAAACUCCCAUCUUUUCUGUUUCAUAGGCACUAACUAUCAUACCUAAGGCCCUACCAAAUUUGCGGCCAUGAAAAACGCAUCACGGACUGUGAAAUCUGGUCUUUUGUAUACUUUUACCCUAUACUAUACAGAUUUAACGUGGGAGUCCAGAGUUUCUCAAACUGGGGGUCCCAACCCAAAAAGGGGCUGUAAGGGGGAGACGGGUGUCGGCGGUUUUGCCACCCUUCCUUCUGUACUGCCUUCAGAGCUGGGCAGCUGGAGAGCAGCAGCUGCUGGCCAAGGGCCCAGCUCUGAAGGCAGAAGGAAGGGUGACAAUACUGUGACACCCCUACAAUAAUCUUGCAAACCCCCACCACCACCAAUACCCCCUUUUGAGUCAGGACCCCCACAGUUACAACACCAUGAAAUUUCAGAUUUAAAUAGCUGAAAUCAUGAAAUUUACAAUUUUUAAAAUCCUAUGACCGUGAAAUUGACCAAAAUGGUAGGGCCCUAAUCAUAUCAGAGAUCUUUUUCUGUUUCAAUCUGAUUUUUCCUGCAGCUGAAAUGUUUUGUGUUUUGGCUUGUCUUUGUUCCACAGUGCAAUAAGACACACCA